UAGGAUGUUCCAAGGCACUUAAAAAUCCUGGGUUGGCACCUGAGCUGGGGGUGGUUGGAAGGAGAAAGAUGACCAAAAGCGCAGGCAAAGAGAUCUCCUCAAUCUCCAGUAACAUGGUUCCCAACUCCUUAGUCAUCUGUUCCAGUGCCUUGGGACGUCCUCCCGACAUGAAAGGUAUCUCAAGUGAACAGCAAACCUCCGCCAGUACCAAGUGUUGAUAAUCCACAUCACCACACAGUCAUUAGCUAAAUGAGACUUACCCACACAUAGAAAUUUUGCUGUGUCUGGAAUGGAAAGCUUUAGCAGACAUCUGCCUUCAGCUUGGUGGAAGGACUUAUACAUGACAGUUUAUGAUGUGUCACUCAGCUUGAUGCUCCAGAGGUCCAAGUCCAAUAUAAGGUUUAUUCGAGGACAGCUGCGUAAUCCAGAUCCUCACGCUAUGGGUUUUGGCAAUUAGAUGUAACUCUGAUGAUGGCUAAUCUACCUCAGUAUCAGGUCAGUGUAGGUCAGAAACCUCUCUCUCUGCAGACACUUGCCAUUUUUAUCACAAUUUUUUUUUACCCCUUCAGAUAAUCCAAACUGGGAAUUGCCUCAGCUGCUCAGUGGGGUCUUUUGGGGGGAAUGUCAGCCAGUUGCAGCAGCCCAUUUCAUGAGGGCUGUGAGCUGCACCCUCUCCCACAAAACAAGUGUAGCUCUGUAUUCGGUAGAGUUGUGCUGUAUUUUGUGUAACUGUUGCGUGCAGACAGUGCGAAACAUUCACCUCCCCCACUUUAACAGCAAUAUAUAACGUAUACCUGCCAUUGAGGAGGAAGUACGGUCAAAUCAGAGUGGUGCCAAAUCAUCACUUUAUCUGAACAGAAAGGGCAGUGGCAUUCACAUAGAAUGGGGUUUGCUAAGGCCUUGAUGCCACAUUAUUUCAAGUAUUGGUGUCUCCUUCUCCCAAUCCAGGGAAUGUUUGUGCUCAAUGUCUCAUGUGAUAUCUGGGCUUGUUCAGCCAUAUAUUUUGUCACUUACACUGCAGUUAGCUGGUUAAAUUGGCAAGGCACAGAGAGUGUAAAAGCAGCAUCUUUAAAUAACAUGUCAUUGAGGUGUAAGUGGUUUUGCCAUUAGUACUAAGAAUGUGACCCCAUGUGGAAUGCCCAGACUCUCGAGCCAUUAUGUAACUCCUGGUCUUGAUUCCUUAUUUAGACUAAUCUCGUUCUCUACGUGACAGCCACCAGUCAAUCACAUGGCUUACACGGUGUAGUGGAGUGUGAUGCUGACACCCUAGGCUCUGUUAUGUGUUGGUAUUUAACUGAUUGCAUUAAAAAUAUUUAAGAUUUUAGUUCUAUUUCAAUUCUUGUCUGGUUGUUUUUAAAGAUCAGUUUUAACAUGGAC